UAACUGAACUUAAAAGAAAAGCCAGGGA
rnacentral:piRNA from 1 species